rnacentral:lncRNA from 1 species
CUCCUAAUAAAAAAAUAUGUUUUAAGCAAAUCUUAAAAGAUAUUACAGAAGCUGGCAGUGACGAGCGAUGAAAGCCAUUGAGUGUUUGGAUGUUAAAAAGGCACUAUAAUAGCAGAAGAAACACAAAUAUAUACAGUGGCGUUGACCCCAUAAUAAAUUCAUAAUAAAAAAGAACCUGCAUAGACAAGAAAAUAGGUAGCUUGUGCUCUCCAUCAGGUCUAUAAUGCCUCCAACACCACUAAGAGUAAACUGAAUCAUGAACAACCAUUGUAUUACCACGUAAAGGUAAACAAUAUGAACAAAAACAGUUGCUUAAAAUCGUCACCAGUGACCAGCUAAUAAUAAACAUCAUUAUAGUCAACCCAAAGGCCCCUGGCCCAAACUUCACCCACCAAACUAACCUCAAAUGACCAUCCACCCAUAACAAAAACCAAACAUGUCCAAAUGGCAUCUGAAGUCAAGUAAUAAGACAUCAAGUAAUAUAACAGGAGCUAAGGUAAGAAGAUCAAACCAGAUCAG